UCCUGGACCCCUCCCCACCUGCCCAGCUCCUGGGUGAGGGCCCUUUCCUGCCCCUGAAGCCAGUGGCACCCAGAGGACCAACAACUCCAUUUUCUUUUUGAGGGGGUCCCCAGACCCUGGCCUCACCCUCCCCUCAAGGGGCCCCUGAGGUUCUGAUGUGUGGUCUGUUUGGAAACACACACAGAACACACACUUGUAUUUUUUCUCAGCCAUUUCCGAGUAGGUUGUAGACAUGGAGCCCUUUGUCUCUUAGUACUUCAAGGGAGGUCUUUCUUAAGAACAAGGUUUUCACUUACAAAACUACGUAAGCAAGUGCAGAAACACGCGCGCUUCUGGCCCCGCAUCGCCAGCACGCUUUCCUGCAGAGUCAGCAGGUUUGGGGCCAGUGACGGGACCCACCAAACACAGCCCUUAUCAGAAUCCAGGGGCUUUGCAGGGACAAGGUGGCCAAGAGGAAAUGUACUUUGAUGUAAAUGUAUUUUGAUACAUGUAUAUCUAUAUUUGAUAAAUUCAUGUAUCAAAUUCAGGAAAUUCAGCAUUGGUAUCUCAUUAUCAUCAAACCUACACACUACGCAUAUUUUAUUGGUUGUCCCAAUGAUGUCUUCGUGAGCAUAUUUUCCUGGUGGAUUUUGUCACCCAGGCUCACCCUGUGCUCAGCUGUCUCAGGCUCAGAAUCUCCUCACUCAGGCUCACCCUGCACUCAGCCAUCUCAGGCCCCAAAUCUCCUAACCCAGGUUCACACACUGCGCUCAGCCGUCUAACGCUCUGAAUCUCCUCACCCAGGCUCGCCCUACGCUCAGCCGUCUCCUUGGGCUUCUUGAAUCUGGACAAGUCCUCAGCUUUCUUUGUCUUUCCUGUCCUUGGGCGUUUCUGAGGAAGUCAGGAGAGCAGCUUUGUAGCAUGACCCUCGGGGGUCUUGUCUGGAGUUUCCUCUGCCUGGACUCAGGGAGCGGCUUUGGGUCCUCCAGCCCACGCCACCGCGGCGAGCAGUCCCCGGAGGAGAAGCCGGGUGGCUCCCGUCUGUCCUCGGACUGAGCAGGGUGGCCAGGCCCCAGGUGGAAACUACCUUGGUCAGGCUGGGUUUUUUCCCUCCCCUUUCUGGAGGUUUUCAGCUCCUCUGAAAUAAACACCUUUCAGUGAGA